AUCCCAUGUAUGUGUCAUAGCACAUCAACCCACAAGCAGAUCUACCAAGUAGAUCACACACACAAUAGUCACUAUGCCCUCUCACAUAUAGAAAUGUGAAGGUGCAAGAAUGAUUUGCAAAGGUGGGGCUGAUCCUCACAAACACAUCAACUCCACAACACCCACUACACAUGCUCUUGAACAACACACAAAACUGCAAGGCAUCUAGUAAGCCACACAUCAUGGAAGCACCAACACCUACACAUACAUAUGAACAACUAUAUGGUGCCACAUGAGCCAAGCCCAUGUAUGAGUGGAGAUCACAUAUACACACCACAAUCUACAAGCACAACCACAUGUAUAUUACCUCACAUAUGCACACACUAGUGCACCUACAAGCAUGCACUAAGCUAGCACCACCACCACACAUACACUUCACCAAGUGCUCACAUACACACACAACCAACACACUAAAGCACACACACUAGUUCAUCUGCAGGAAGGAACAAAAAUAAAUGCUCUUCUCUUUAUGCCAAUUGUUUAGGCACAAGAAGUAGCAAAAUUAUAGCAAGGAAAACAAAUAGGAAAGAAAGCAAAAAUAAAAGAGGCAGGCCUCGGAUUCGAACCCAGGGCCUCCUGGAGUCACCACAGAGCUAGUUCCACCCUGCUACUGUCUUGGAUUCGUCGGAACAGAGGGGUUCUAGCAAUACAAGCAACUCCUGCAUCUACUGCAUCUACUGUGCAAAACAGAGCAAAUAAAAGGGAGUUCGAGGGGAGUCGAACCCUGUAUCUCCAACAUACAUC
rnacentral:lncRNA from 1 species